AAGUGGAAAGCAACAAGUGCUCCUUAAUGUCUAUUAUCAAAGUCAUGGCUAAAUUUCUUCAGUGUUUUUGGGGAAGUUCAGCAGUUCAACCAAGCUCUGGAAAGCAAAAGGUAGUGCUGAAGGUGGAAAUGGAGGAUCCAAAGAAGAGAUCCAAAGUUAUGAAGAACAUUGCUGGCUGGCUUGGUGUUUACUCAGUAGCAUUAGAAGGGAAUGAAAAUAAUAAAAUAGCUGCUAUUGGUGAGGGAAUUGAUCCAGUGAGUCUUGUUCACAAACUUAGGGAUGAGAUGGGUGAUGUGCAGUUGAUUUCUGUUACUCCUGUUGAAGAAAAGAAGAA